GCACUCGUAGUUCAACUGGAUAGAAUAUCGGAUUUCGGCUCCGAGGGUUAGGGGUUCGAAUCCUCUCGAGUGCACUA
rnacentral:tRNA from 1 species